UCGGGAAUAUUGCGCAAUGGAGGAAACUCUGACGCAGUGACGCCGCGUGCAGGAAGAAGGUUUUCGGAUUGUAAACUGCUUUAGACAGGGAAGAAACAAGACAGUACCUGUAGAAUAAGCUCCGGCUAACUACGUGCCAGCAGCCGCGGUAAUACGUAGGGAGCAAGCGUUAUCCGGAUUUAUUGGGUGUAAAGGGUGCGUAGACGGGAAGGCAAGUUGGUUGUGAAAUCCCUCGGCUUAACUGAGGAACUGCAACCAAAAACUAUCUUUCUUGAGUGCUGGAGAGGAAAGUGGAAUUCCUAGUGUAGCGGUGAAAUGCGUAGAUAUUAGGAGGAACACCAGUGGCGAAGGCGACUUUCUGGACAGUAACUGACGUUGAGGCACGAAAAGUGUGGGGAGCAAAACAGGAUUAGAUACC
rnacentral:rRNA from 1 species